rnacentral:lncRNA from 1 species
UGUAGGGGGUGCAGUUUCACUCUCGGAGCUGCGUGCAUGAGAGGCCAGAGGGCGCCCGAAAAAUACCGGAAGUGCAAAAUGACGCAUGUAUGUAGGCUACUUAAAGAAAAUCCUGUUUUUAGUUUGUGUAAUUGUUGAUUUGAUCACAAACGCUUGUGUAAAAACUUGCCACGCUUGCCAUCGGAGCUGCUUAUCCCUGAAUUAGAUGUUCAACUCUGUAUAACCCAUGGCUGCAUAAUCCAGGCAGAUCGCAGAGUCUGUCCUCGGCUGUCUCUCCAUUGGCACUGUCACUCCCUCAUUCAGGGUCCCUGUGUGCCUGUAUGUAACAUCAGUAAAGCUGUCAGGCAGCCAGGCCAAGGUAAACAGCCCAGCGCUGGGUUCAGGGGUGAUGGGGGCCGAGAUGUUUUUCCUCAGGAACCCAGGGACCCCUGGAGGCUUCUGGCUGGGGCCAGGGAGGGGCCGACAGGGGAAGACGAUCCCCUCAUUUGCCCCCUAGAAGAACACACACCGCCGUUCGUCAUCCUGUUGCUGCUCCUCAUCAAUCCCACACUGCCACAAUGGUCUGUGACAGCAGCACUGACAGGCCCAUGACAGGCCUGCCACCCGGACGGCCUGUCCCAGCCAGCCAGCCUACAAUACGGGAGAAGACAAACAGACCUGAACAUGCACAACUCAUUCCUCCUCCCCCCCCCAAACCUUGUUGGCGCCUGGCUGUGUGGCCCAACUCUCUCAAACUCUCCCAACAACACUGUACAAACGCUACAGCGGGGCUUUAGCUACGGCAAUGUCGCUCUGUUGGCCGGUCCACAACUGUGGUCCGGACUGAAACAUCUGUUGGAUGGACUGCCAUGACAUCAGUGUUCAGAUAUUCAUGGUCCCCAGAGGAUGACACCUCCUAACUCCCCUGACUUUCCCUCUAGCGCCACCAUGAGGUUGAUAUUUAUUUGUGGUUUUGAAUAAAAAAGCUCAACUUUUGGAUGGAUUGCCAUGAAGUUUGGUACAGCCGUUAUUUUUUACAGCCCAACACUUUGGUUUAUUACCAAACACUUGCAAUCAGCAAGACAUUCCCAUGAGCCUCAGCUGUAGGCGACUUGUUUAUUGUUAAAUAGCUAAUGUUAGCAUGUUGACAUGCUAAACUAAGAUACCAAAUAUGGCAACAUUGCCUCCUAAACAUCAACAUUUUAGCAUGGUUAUUGUGAGCAUGUUUGCAUUUAGCUCAAACUACCACUGUGUCUGUAGGCGCUUCGCAUAGUUACCCACGAAACUGAAGGUUUUUUGACCAGGUUUCUUUUUGGAUUUUACAUUUCAUAAUAUUGCAUUGUG